GUGCGGAGGACUCACUCCCGGCUCCCACUCAUCCUCGGGCUCCUGGUCGCUUUCAUCGCUCUCACCAUCGCUGUCGGCGCCGUCUACAGGUGGCGAGCGGGAGUGAAGAGGAACUACAAUCCCACACCGACUUCAGAUGGUGCAGGAUCCUCGGCCGGUUCCACCGCCAGCGAGUGAGUGAUCAGACCGGCGGUGGGAGAGCACGAGAAGCUCUCGGA